UUAGACAAGCCCCUCGUUCGACACGGUCCCACCCAAACCACAAAACGGCCCGCUCGCACGGUGCCUAAAAUGGGCCGACGGCCCAUAGAGCCACGUGCGGGAGCGCCUGCCGCGACUCCCGGCGCAGAAGAUCGACGAUCCGGCACGCUUCGAUUCGCUUCGAUUUCGCUCUGCAAAAGCCUCGCGAAGAAUCUCCAAAGCGAAUCCGCAAAUUCGCUUCCCCCGCUUCCGCUCGAGGCGUGCCGUGUUGUUCGGGGGGCCGUUUCGGCGACGGACGGAGUGCUGGGGAUGGUUGGAGAUGGCUCGAGAAGGGAGCGUGGUGCCGGCGGACCCGCAGCAGCAGCAGCAGCAGGCGGCGAAGAAGAAGGGCCAGCCGUCGCGGAGCUGGAUCCUCCUCGACGCGGCGGGGCAGGGGACGGUGCUCGACGUCGACAAGUACGCGAUCAUGCACCGCGUGCAGAUCCACGCGCGGGACCUCCGCAUCCUCGACCCGCUCUUGUCCUACCCCUCCACCAUCCUCGGCCGUGAGAGGGCCAUCGUUCUCAAUUUGGAGCAUAUCAAGGCAAUCAUCACUGCCGAAGAGGUGUUGCUUCGAGACCCAUCAGAUAUAAAUGUUAUACCAGUUGUUGAGGAGCUCCAACGGCGAUUAGCUGUAAAUGCCAUAUGCCAGGGUCAAGAUGAUGCAGAAGAGUAUUCUCAUGUACAGAAUGAUGUUGAAGCUGGGGAAGAUGAUGAGUCUCCAUUUGAAUUUCGCGCCUUGGAGGUAGCUUUGGAAGCAAUUUGUAGCUUUCUUGCAGCACGUACUACUGAAUUGGAGACUGCUGCUUAUCCUGCUUUAGAUGAGCUCACCUCAAAAAUUAGCAGCCGUAACUUGGAUAGGGUUCGUAAAUUGAAGAGUGCGAUGACAAGGCUAACAGCAAGGGUGCAAAAGGUAAGGGAUGAGCUGGAGCAACUACUAGAUGAUGAUGAUGAUAUGGCUGACUUGUAUUUGUCAAGAAAACAAGUUGGUGCAUCUUCCCUAUAAGUGGUUCAGGAGCCCAAAAUUGGUUUCCUGCUUCCCCUACCAUUGGCUCAAAAAUAUCUCGAGCCAGUAGGGCGAGUGUGGCAACAGUUCGUGGAGAUGAAGAUGAUGUUGAGGAGUUGGAAAUGUUACUUGAGGCUUACUUUAUGCAAAUUGAUGGCACAUUGAACAAGCUGACAACACUUCGGGAAUAUAUCGAUGACACUGAGGACUACAUUAACAUCCAGCUUGAUAAUCACCGGAAUCAGCUGAUUCAGCUAGAGCUCUUCCUGAGUUCAGGAACUGUUUGUUUGUCCAUCUAUUCUUUGGUUGCUGCCAUUUUCGGCAUGAACAUACCUUAUGAUUGGAACGAGAACCAUGGCUACAUGUUCAAAUGGGUCGUGAUCGUGACUGGAACUGCUUGCGCAUUCUUAUUCAUCCUUGUAAUUGCAUAUGCUCGUCAUAAGGGAUUGGUUGGAUCUUGACUUUGCAUCUCUCAAGCUGGCCUUUGGGACGACUAAAGGGCAGGGCCAUGAGGAUGGAGUUUGUUUUGAUUCGGAUAGCCGAAAACUGUAAUACUGGUGUGGCUGAGGUUGUUGGUGCGCCCUCUCAUUUCCCAUUUGAAUCGACAAACCAUGCAAGGAAAAAUACCUCAGGACAGUAUUCAUUAGCGGCAAUCGUGGAUAAAGCUUAUAGGGAACCAUUUUUCUCUUAUUUACAAAAAAUUUCCUGAUUUCACACAGGAUAAUUGGGUAUACCACAGAUCUUGUUACACACGAUACUUGUAACUAACCUUCAAAUAAUUGGUAUUUACAUAGUACGCAAUUCUUGGUAGAUUCCUAUGGUGUUCUCUUUUGGAGGUGAAUUUGCAUAACAUGUAGGACCAUCUUGCUCAAUCUAUUCAAAGCCCUUACGUUAUAAA